rnacentral:rRNA from 1 species
UUCUCUGGUUGAUCCUGCCGGAGGUUACUGCUAUCGAGGUUCGACUAAGCCAUGCGAGUCGAAUGUAGCAAUACAUGGCGUACUGCUCAGUAACACGUGGACAACCUACCCUUAGGUCGGGGAUAAACCCGGGAAACUGGGUAUAAUACCCGAUAGUGCUCGACUGCUGGAAUGCAUCGAGUACUAAAGCUCCGGCGCCUAAGGAUGGGUCUGCGGCCUAUCAGGUAGUAGUGGGUGUAGCGUACCUACUAGCCUACGACGGGUACGGGUUGUGAGAGCAAGAGCCCGGAGAUGGAUUCUGAGACACGAAUCCAGGCCCUACGGGGUGCAGCAGGCGCGAAAACUUUACAAUGCUGGAAACAGCGAUAAGGGGACCUCGAGUGCCAGGUUACAAAUCUGGCUGUCGUGAUGCCUAAAAAGCAUUGCAUAGCAAGGGCCGGGCAAGACCGGUGCCAGCCGCCGCGGUAACACCGGCGGCUCGAGUGGUAACCGUUAUUAUUGGGUCUAAAGGGUCUGUAGCCGGCCGGAUAAGUCUCUUGGGAAAUCCAGCAGCUCAACUGUUGGGCUUUCAGGAGAUACUGUCUGGCUCGAGGCCGGGAGAGGUGAGAGGUACUUCAGGGGUAGGGGUGAAAUCUUGUAAUCCUUGAAGGACCACCAGUGGCGAAGGCGUCUCACCAGAACGGACCUGACGGCAAGGGACGAAAGCUAGGGGCACGAACCGGAUUAGAUACCCGGGUAGUCCUAGCUGUAAACGAUACUCGCUAGGUGUCGGCCACGGUGCGACCGUUGUCGGUGCCGUAGGGAAGCCGUGAAGCGAGCCACCUGGGAAGUACGGCCGCAAGGCUGAAACUUAAAGGAAUUGGCGGGGGAGCAC